rnacentral:lncRNA from 1 species
AGACAAUGGGUGCUGAUGAACAUCCAUCCUUAGCUCUGUGCCUGUGGCACAGUGAUGUGGGCUUCAGGGCUGAUGUCUGGGUGAUUCUUCUAUAGACCUUGGGACUCUCCUCCAACUUCUCUGGGCUGCAACUCUCUAACAUUCAGUGGUUGCAUGGAGUAGUGUCGAUCUUCACUGAAGUCAGACUCAUUCAAAUGAGCAAAGGUCUUCUGAACACUCCCUAUGCAUGCCUCUGAUGUGUGAAAAGGUUGGAGUGACUAUGCAUGACUCUGAUGUGUGAAAAGGGGGCCCUGAUGUUUGUGUAAUUAUCUUUACUGUUAUUACUCAAAAUCACUAUUCUGUGUACUCCUGCAAAAGGCUUUAAACACCAAAAGAGCUUAUGUUUUCAAUAGUGUGAGCACAGAAAACCAAAACAAAUGAGAGGAAACUUCCUGUUGCCAGUGCCCUGCAGAGAAGGCUUUCAAUGGAGAGAUGUUGGCACCAGGCCCAUGUGUCCCCUCGGGAAGAGGGGCUUCUCAGCUCUAAGAUGCUAAGUCGCCUCAGACAUUCUCUUAGGUCCUCAUCUGAAGGGGACUGUUUUGAAAAUCAGAUCUAUGAACUCGUGGCAAAUCUGCAAACGACACUGUGUCCUGUUCUCUGUCUCUAAGGCCAACCAAGUACAAAGGAUAGAUAUCCACAAAGAACAGGGGGGCUGGGAAGCAGGGAUUCUGACACCUGCUCUGGUGUGGGGUUUUCCGAUGCCACCAAGCAGCUCUGGGACACCAGCUGGGUGUCCUGCAUUUAACUUAGCUCUGAUGCUGUCUACCUGGAGACAGCCCUUACUCAGGGACUGGACAGAGCCAAGGGAAGUCCAAUAUCCACAUCAUUACACAACUGCCAUUACAGCCAAAGUCCUGCAUGAUGAACAGUCUUCAUACUGAGGCCCAUCAAAGGGGCAGAGCCUGAGAACCAUUUGGAGCCCAUGUGUGGAGACCUUUUACGGGUGUAUGGAGAUGUGGAGGCUGCUUCGGGGAGAUUGGAAGGCUGGUGUUUUCCUGACUGCCAGAAUAUUGAACAAUUUUCCCUUUUCAUUAAAGCACUGAACCUCAA